UCAGUGUCACUCUAAAAUAUAUGGAUGUACUGUUUCUGAACUUGGAUAUUAAUAAAAUUUUACAAAUACUAAAGAAUUCUAAAGUCUGGAUAUGUGAAAGACAUACAGAUAAACAUGAAAUCAACUUUAUCAUAUAGGUAGAAUCGUUUGUCUGUCCGUGUUUGAGAGAGAGAGAGCACAGCAGACGUAACGUAAAUAUGCCAUGCAGAUAGGCUGCACUUUUUUUCUCUGCUCAUUCUUUUCAAACAGUUUAGUAAACAAAGGUUUGAGGGGUUUGGCGUUUUGCGAUGACACGCGGUAGAGUGUACUCGAGAUCAGUGUAAACACGGACAUCUAAUCCUCCAGCAUCUCAGGACCCGCAAUCAGCAAACACGGUUUUUGGUGAAACAGCGACUUGUCCCACGUGACAGGGAACUUACCUGAAAGAUAUUCCUUGUAUAUCACCCAGGGGACCAGAUAUUAAUUGAAUUUAAUAAGGAGAAAAAGCUGUGGAUUUCCUGGGACAAAUUUCAUUGAGGUUGAAGAUAAAGGUGUGAGAAAUUCAUUCAAGUUUGAUCUACAAUAAUUUACACACUGUGGAUGUUGCC